rnacentral:tRNA from 1 species
GGCGCUGCUAGCUCAACUGGCAGAGCAUCUGACUCUUAAUCAGAGGGUUCAGGGUUCGGGGCGCCUCCA